rnacentral:rRNA from 1 species
GACGAACGCUGGCGGCGUGCUUAACACAUGCAAGUCGAACGGAAAGGCCCUGCUUUUGUGGGGUGCUCGAGUGGCGAACGGGUGAGUAACACGUGAGAAACCUGCCCUUGACUUUGGGAUAACUUCAGGAAACUGGGGCUAAUACCGGAUAGGAGCUCCUGCUGCAUGGUGGGGGUUGGAAAGUUUCGGCGGUUGGGGAUGGACUCGCGGCUUAUCAGCUUGUUGGUGGGGUAGUGGCUUACCAAGGCUUUGACGGGUAGCCGGCCUGAGAGGGUGACCGGCCACAUUGGGACUGAGAUACGGCCCAGACUCCUACGGGAGGCAGCAGUGGGGAAUAUUGCACAAUGGGCGGAAGCCUGAUGCAGCAACGCCGCGUGCGGGAUGACGGCCUUCGGGUUGUAAACCGCUUUCGCCUGUGACGAAGCGUGAGUGAUGGUAAUGGGUAAAGAAGCACCGGCUAACUACGUG